rnacentral:misc_RNA from 1 species
UUUCCGUAGGUGAACCUGCGGAAGGAUCAUUAAAGAGAUCAUGCCCUCACGGGUAGACCUCCCACCCUUUGUUUACAAUACCCUUGUUGCUUUGGCGGGCCCGUUUGGCCCCGCGCUGAACAACCGGCCCCGGCUGGUCAGUGCCCGCCAGAGAACCGAAAACUCUGAAUUAAAUGUCGUCUGAGUACUAUGUAAUAGUUAAAACUUUCAACAACGGAUCUCUUGGUUCUG